GCGAUGGAUUACCUUUGGCAGAUCCUGUGAGUCAGGAAUUUAGGGGUGCAGCGUGGGCCCACAUCAUACCCAGUAGCCAGGGAAGCCCGUCCCCUACCCGAGGCUCAAGCAGGAGGCAGGCCCCAAACCCUCGCUCCUCUCUGAUCUAAAUCCCCGCCGUAGGAUUUUAUUUUUCGGUGCUGCGGUGCUUUGCUGGAGGAGCUGCCAGGGGGAGCUGCGCGGGGCGGGCCCGGGGGACCAGAGGCCCUUGCUUUAGCGGCGGCCCUGCAGGUGCCAGAGGCUUGCAGAGUGAUCUGAGCACGCCAAGAGAUUGUUGUCAAUGAAAGCACCAGAAUUUCCGCGUAGGAGGGACUUGGGGGCAACGAUGCAAUUGGAAGGCGCUGGAAGCAUUCAGGAAGCCCUGGGGCCAAAGCAAACAGCAUGCUUGAGGCAAAGUGCUGUGAGGCCCAAAUGAGCUGAAGCUUGCACAAAACUGCUCACCACUGCCAUAGCUGAAUCAGCGGAGGCCAAGAGGAUGCGAGGCGGUGCCCACGAUUGUCUGAUCAUCUCCCUCUUGGACCGCUCAGACUCAGGCAUGCCCUGCUUCAAAUCCAACCUGUCACCAGGUCUUCAAGGGGAAGGCCUGCGGAAAUCCUACUGUGAAUGAAGCUACAGUUGCUAUUCAUCGUCUCCCUCCUGCACCGACCA